AAUCAUUCACAAUGGGGGAAACCCUGAUGGUGCGACGCCGCGUGGGGGAUAAGGUCUUCGGAUUGUAAACCCCUGUCAUGUGGGACAUUAAAAAGAUAGUACCACAAGAGGAAGAGACGGCUAACUCUGUGCCAGCAGCCGCGGUAAUACAGAGGUCUCAAGCGUUGUUCGGAAUCACUGGGCGUAAAGCGUGCGUAGGCUGUUUCGUAAGUCGUGUGUGAAAGGCGCGGGCUCAACCCGCGGACGGCACAUGAUACUGCGAGACUAGAGUAAUGGAGGGGGAACCGGAAUUCUCGGUGUAGCAGUGAAAUGCGUAGAUAUCGAGAGGAACACUCGUGGCGAAGGCGGGUUCCUGGACAUUAACUGACGCUGAGGCACGAAGGCCAGGGGAGCGAAAGGGAUUAGAUACCCCUGUAGUCCUGGCAGUAAACGG
rnacentral:rRNA from 1 species